GAGAUGGGAAGCUGUGGGCUGCGCAGUGGGUCCUAUGGUCUUGGAAAGGGGACGCCCCACCUUGUGCUCAUCUUUGUAGAAUCUGGGCAGGUUUGGGGGUCCUCAUGAAAGAUUUUGAAAUUUUUGAAGUCUAUUCUCUGCCUGUUUUUCUAAAAAAUUCUUCAGUAGGUGAAUAAUUUACUUAACAUUGUGUACUUGGGAGAAUAUGAUGAUGGGGACAGAGCAUGCUGUAUUGCAUGGCUUCUUAGGAAGAAAACACUAUGGGCUGCCCUGUAGAAAUGCAGGCAGAAGCUGUUGUCAGUGAAUGUUGGGAGGAUCCGUAAUGUUGAAUUGGAAUAGAACUAGAGUGAGACUGUUUCAUGAGGGCUUCUCCCAUCUAGAAUCUUUCUCAGGAGUAUUCUGGGUGCUUUGACCUGGAUCAGUUACUGC
rnacentral:lncRNA from 1 species